CAAAGAAAUUUCAAACAAAUAAUAAAAUUCUUAAAGAAAUAUUAGAAUGAACACAAAUUUUACUCAAAUAUAUGUCAAUUCAACCUUAAUUUAAUUCUAGUUAAAACCCUAUUGAAUUUCACUCAACUUUAGAUCAAACCUAAUUAAAUCUUAAACUCUAAUAAUUCCUAAAUCCUAAGUCAAAUCCUAAAAAAAUCUUAAAUUAAACCCUAUUCCAAACCCUAAACCCUAAACCAAACCCUAAAUAAAAUCUUAAA
rnacentral:lncRNA from 1 species